AAUUUGUAUUUUUAUUACCAUAAUUAUUUUGUUCAUUCUUAUAUUAUGUCUGACGGCUAAACCGCACUAUACACAAACCUUCGAUUUUUAAACGUCGAUCUAUACAUGUAGAAUAGUUCGUAAACUCAUUAAGUUUUAAUUGAAACGAAUUUAGGCGUUGCGUAAACCACUCUGUAUUUAAUAUACCGUGAAAGUUUAUCUCAAGUAUUUUUGUAACACGGAUUUUUUCUCUCGAGUCGGCAUUAACAAUCGAGAAAAAAAAACGCCUAAUACUGAUUACAUUUGAC